UACAGAGGUCUCAACCCGUUGUUCGGAUUCAUUGGGCGUAAAGGGUGCGUAGGCGGCGGGGUAAGUCAGGUGUGAAAUCUCGGGGCUCAACCCCGAAACUGCACUUGAUACUGCCCUCGCUUGAGUACUGGAGAGGAGACUGGAAUUUACGGUGUAGCAGUGAAAUGCGUAGAUAUCGUAAGGAAGACCAGUGGCGAAGGCGAGUCUCUGGACAGUUCCUGACGCUGAGGCACGAAGGUCAGGGGGAGCAAACGGG
rnacentral:rRNA from 1 species